rnacentral:tRNA from 1 species
UCCCUGGUGGCUCAGAGGUUAAAGCGUCUGCCUCCAAUGCGGGAGACCUGGGUUCGAUCCCUGGUUUGGGAA